ensembl:snoRNA snoRNA:CG43051-a
GAGAGCAAAAUGUUUGAAGUCGCCUGCCUGAUGUUCAUCUGCCCUUGGCUCAUACUCGUACUGCUCAUGUUCAUCGCCAUGACUGUACUCUAGUACUCUAGUUGAAAAAUGUAAACACAAACUGAGAGGAAAAUAACGAACAAGAAU